UUGUUGAACAACUUCGAGGAGUCCACAGGUUUAAAACUCAACCAGGCAAAAUCAUCUGUCAUUCCGAUCAACUGCGGGGUGGUUCAGCUAUCGGAUGUGCUGCAAAAUUUUGGUUGCCAGUUGUCUGCUUUCCCGACAGCUUACCUAGGCCUGCCGAUCUCUCCAACAAAGCUGCGACUGGUGCACCUUCAGUUCAUCAUUCAUCGGGUCCGCUCGAGGCUCACGAGAUGGAAAGGUAGAUUGAUGUGGAUGGCCGGCAGGCGGGUGCUAGUGCAUGUAGUCCUAACUGCUCUAUCGUUUUUUGCUCUGAUUGUACUCAAGGUGCCCAAGAAAAUCCUCAAGGAGGUGGACAAAAUGCUCCGACAAUUCCUUUGGGCCCAGGAUGAGAACAUAACGGGCGCUAGAUGCAAAUUGUCCUGGGAUAAAGUAUGCUUACCCGUGGCCAAGGGGGGCUCGGCAUUUUGGAUCGCCCUCGGUUCAGCAUGA
rnacentral:rRNA from 1 species